rnacentral:rRNA from 1 species
GGUUAAGCGACUAAGCGUACACGGUGGAUGCCCUGGCAGUCAGAGGCGAUGAAGGACGUGCUAAUCUGCGAUAAGCGUCGGUAAGGUGAUAUGAACCGUUAUAACCGGCGAUUUCCGAAUGGGGAAACCCAGUGUGUUUCGACACACUAUCAUUAACUGAAUCCAUAGGUUAAUGAGGCGAACCGGGGGAACUGAAACAUCUAAGUACCCCGAGGAAAAGAAAUCAACCGAGAUUCCCCCAGUAGCGGCGAGCGAACGGGGAGCAGCCCAGAGCCUGAAUCAGUGUGUGUGUUAGUGGAAGCGUCUGGAAAGGCGCGCGAUACAGGGUGACAGCCCCGUACACAAAAAUGCACAUGCUGUGAGCUCGAUGAGUAGGGCGGGACACGUGGUAUCCUGUCUGAAUAUGGGGGGACCAUCCUCCAAGGCUAAAUACUCCUGACUGACCGAUAGUGAACCAGUACCGUGAGGGAAAGGCGAAAAGAACCCCGGCGAGGGGAGUGAAAAAGAACCUGAAACCGUGUACGUACAAGCAGUGGGAGCACGCUUAGGCGUGUGACUGCGUACCUUUUGUAUAAUGGGUCAGCGACUUAUAUUCUGUAGCAAGGUUAACCGAAUAGGGGAGCCGAAGGGAAACCGAGUCUUAACUGGGCGUUAAGUUGCAGGGUAUAGACCCGAAACCCGGUGAUCUAGCCAUGGGCAGGUUGAAGGUUGGGUAACACUAACUGGAGGACCGAACCGACUAAUGUUGAAAAAUUAGCGGAUGACUUGUGGCUGGGGGUGAAAGGCCAAUCAAACCGGGAGAUAGCUGGUUCUCCCCGAAAGCUAUUUAGGUAGCGCCUCGUGAAUUCAUCUCCGGGGGUAGAGCACUGUUUCGGCAAGGGGGUCAUCCCGACUUACCAACCCGAUGCAAACUGCGAAUACCGGAGAAUGUUAUCACGGGAGACACACGGCGGGUGCUAACGUCCGUCGUGAAGAGGGAAACAACCCAGACCGCCAGCUAAGGUCCCAAAGUCAUGGUUAAGUGGGAAACGAUGUGGGAAGGCCCAGACAGCCAGGAUGUUGGCUUAGAAGCAGCCAUCAUUUAAAGAAAGCGUAAUAGCUCACUGGUCGAGUCGGCCUGCGCGGAAGAUGUAACGGGGCUAAACCAUGCACCGAAGCUGCGGCAGCGACGCUUAUGCGUUGUUGGGUAGGGGAGCGUUCUGUAAGCCUGUGAAGGUGUGCUGUGAGGCAUGCUGGAGGUAUCAGAAGUGCGAAUGCUGACAUAAGUAACGAUAAAGCGGGUGAAAAGCCCGCUCGCCGGAAGACCAAGGGUUCCUGUCCAACGUUAAUCGGGGCAGGGUGAGUCGACCCCUAAGGCGAGGCCGAAAGGCGUAGUCGAUGGGAAACAGGUUAAUAUUCCUGUACUUGGUGUUACUGCGAAGGGGGGACGGAGAAGGCUAUGUUGGCCGGGCGACGGUUGUCCCGGUUUAAGCGUGUAGGCUGGUUUUCCAGGCAAAUCCGGAAAAUCAAGGCUGAGGCGUGAUGACGAGGCACUACGGUGCUGAAGCAACAAAUGCCCUGCUUCCAGGAAAAGCCUCUAAGCAUCAGGUAACAUCAAAUCGUACCCCAAACCGACACAGGUGGUCAGGUAGAGAAUACCAAGGCGCUUGAGAGAACUCGGGUGAAGGAACUAGGCAAAAUGGUGCCGUAACUUCGGGAGAAGGCACGCUGAUAUGUAGGUGAAGUCCCUCGCGGAUGGAGCUGAAAUCAGUCGAAGAUACCAGCUGGCUGCAACUGUUUAUUAAAAACACAGCACUGUGCAAACACGAAAGUGGACGUAUACGGUGUGACGCCUGCCCGGUGCCGGAAGGUUAAUUGAUGGGGUUAGCCGCAAGGCGAAGCUCUUGAUCGAAGCCCCGGUAAACGGCGGCCGUAACUAUAACGGUCCUAAGGUAGCGAAAUUCCUUGUCGGGUAAGUUCCGACCUGCACGAAUGGCGUAAUGAUGGCCAGGCUGUCUCCACCCGAGACUCAGUGAAAUUGAACUCGCUGUGAAGAUGCAGUGUACCCGCGGCAAGACGGAAAGACCCCGUGAACCUUUACUAUAGCUUGACACUGAACAUUGAGCCUUGAUGUGUAGGAUAGGUGGGAGGCUUAGAAGUGUGGACGCCAGUCUGCAUGGAGCCGACCUUGAAAUACCACCCUUUAAUGUUUGAUGUUCUAACGUUGACCCGUAAUCCGGGUUGCGGACAGUGUCUGGUGGGUAGUUUGACUGGGGCGGUCUCCUCCUAAAGAGUAACGGAGGAGCACGAAGGUUGGCUAAUCCUGGUCGGACAUCAGGAGGUUAGUGCAAUGGCAUAAGCCAGCUUGACUGCGAGCGUGACGGCGCGAGCAGGUGCGAAAGCAGGUCAUAGUGAUCCGGUGGUUCUGAAUGGAAGGGCCAUCGCUCAACGGAUAAAAGGUACUCCGGGGAUAACAGGCUGAUACCGCCCAAGAGUUCAUAUCGACGGCGGUGUUUGGCACCUCGAUGUCGGCUCAUCACAUCCUGGGGCUGAAGUAGGUCCCAAGGGUAUGGCUGUUCGCCAUUUAAAGUGGUACGCGAGCUGGGUUUAGAACGUCGUGAGACAGUUCGGUCCCUAUCUGCCGUGGGCGCUGGAGAACUGAGGGGGCUGCUCCUAGUACGAGAGGACCGGAGUGGACGCAUCACUGGUGUUCGGGUUGUCAUGCCAAUGGCACUGCCCGGUAGCUAAAUGCGGAAGAGAUAAGUGCUGAAAGCAUCUAAGCACGAAACUUGCCCCGAGAUGAGUUCUCCCUGACUCCUUGAGAGUCCUGAAGGAACGUUGAAGACGACGACGUUGAUAGGCCGGGUGUGUAAGCGCAGCGAUGCGUUGAGCUAACCGGUACUAAUGAACCGUGAGGCUUAACCUU